rnacentral:rRNA from 1 species
UACGGAGGGUGCAAGCGUUGUUCGGAAUUACUGGGCGUAAAGCGCACGUAGGCGGGCUUGUAAGUCGAUUGUGAAAGCCCCGGGCUCAAUCCGGGAAUUGCAGUCGAAACUAUAAGUCUUGAAUGCUCUAGAGGGUGACGGAAUUCCUGGUGUAGAAGUGAAAUUCGUAGAUAUCGGGAGGAACACCGGUGGCGAAGGCGGCGAUCUGGGUAGAUACUGACGCUGAGGUGCGAAAGCGUGGGGAGCAAACAGGG